UUGAACGUUCCUUCCUGGGAAGCUGCAGCCUGUCAGCAUGGCUCAGGAGUUUGUGAACUGCAAGAUUCAGUCUGGAAAGGUGGUCGUGUUCAUCAAACCCACCUGCCCCUAUUGCAGAAAGACUCAAGAAAUCCUCAGUCAACUGCCUUUCAAACGUGGUCUCCUGGAAUUUGUGGACAUCACAGCUACUAACAACACCAAUGCGAUUCAAGAUUAUUUACAACAGCUCACCGGAGCAAGAACAGUGAGUGUGUUUAAACGUUAAGGAAGCACUAACGUUUGCUGUUUCCUUUCCGGAGCUAUGCAGA
rnacentral:lncRNA from 1 species